rnacentral:lncRNA from 1 species
GAGAACUGGGAAGAUGGCUUGGUGAUUGAAAACACUUGCUACUACAUUUCCUGAGGUUUGGAGUUUGGAUCCCAGCAAUAACUGUUCGAGAACCCUGCUAUUAAGGGAUCUCUGGAAAUCCUUCCAUCAUACUCACAGCCCUCCAAACCCUGCUCAUCACUUCUGCUCCCUUUGUCCUCGAGGACCCGUGGCCAGUGACCCUUGAGGAGAAGGGAGAACCCCAAACCACAGUGGGAUGCUAAGAACCACCUGUAACUCCAGCUCCAGUUAAUCCAAUACC